AGAGUUUGAUCCUGGCUCAGAUUGAACGCUGGCGGCAGGCCUAACACAUGCAAGUCGAGCGGUAGAGAGAAGCUUGCUUCUCUUGAGAGCGGCGGACGGGUGAGUAAUGCCUAGGAAUCUGCCUGGUAGUGGGGGAUAACGCUCGGAAACGGACGCUAAUACCGCAUACGUCCUACGGGAGAAAGCAGGGGACCUUCGGGCCUUGCGCUAUCAGAUGAGCCUAGGUCGGAUUAGCUAGUUGGUGAGGUAAUGGCUCACCAAGGCGACGAUCCGUAACUGGUCUGAGAGGAUGAUCAGUCACACUGGAACUGAGACACGGUCCAGACUCCUACGGGAGGCAGCAGUGGGGAAUAUUGGACAAUGGGCGAAAGCCUGAUCCAGCCAUGCCGCGUGUGUGAAGAAGGUCUUCGGAUUGUAAAGCACUUUAAGUUGGGAGGAAGGGCAGUAAAUUAAUACUUUGCUGUUUUGACGUUACCGACAGAAUAAGCACCGGGCUAACUCUUGUGCCAGCAGCCGCGGUAAUACAGAGGGUGCAAGCGUUAAUCGGAAUUACUGGGCGUAAAGCGCGCGUAGGUGGUUCGUUAAGUUGGAUGUGAAAUCCCCGGGCUCAACCUGGGAACUGCAUUCAAAACUGUCGAGCUAGAGUAUGGUAGAGGGUGGUGGAAUUUCCUGUGUAGCGGUGAAAUGCGUAGAUAUAGGAAGGAACACCAGUGGCGAAGGCGACCACCUGGACUGAUACUGACACUGAGGUGCGAAAGCGUGGGGAGCAAACAGGAUUAGAUACCCUGGUAGUCCACGCCGUAAACGAUGUCAACUAGCCGUUGGGAGCCUUGAGCUCUUAGUGGCGCAGCUAACGCAUUAAGUUGACCGCCUGGGGAAUACGGCCGCAAGGUUAAAACUCAAAUGAAUUGACGGGGGCCCGCCACAAGCCGUGGGAGCAUGGGGUUUAAUUCGAAAGCAACGCGAAGAACCUUACCAGGCCCUUGACAUCCAAUGAACUUUCCAGAGAUGGAUUGGUGCCUUCGGGAACAUUAGAGAACAGGUGCUUGGCAUGGCUGUCGUCCAGCCUCGUGUCGUGAGAUGUUGGGUUAAGUCCCGUAACGAGCGCAACCCUUGUCCUUAGUUACCAGCACGUAAUGGUGGGCACUCUAAGGAGACUGCCGGUGACAAACCGGAGGAAGGUGGGGAUGACGUCAAGUCAUCAUGGCCCUUACGGCCUGGGCUACACACGUGCUACAAUGGUCGGUACAGAGGGUUGCCAAGCCGCGAGGUGGAGCUAAUCCCAGAAAACCGAUCGUAGUCCGGAUCGCAGUCUGCAACUCGACUGCGUGAAGUCGGAAUCGCUAGUAAUCGCGAAUCAGAAUGUCGCGGUGAAUACGUUCCCGGGCCUUGUACACACCGCCCGUCACACCAUGGGAGUGGGUUGCACCAGAAGUAGCUAGUCUAACCUUCGGGAGGACGGUUACCACGGUGUGAUUCAUGACUGGGGUGAAGUCGUAACAAGGUAGCCGUAGGGGAACCUGCGGCUGGAUCACCUCCUU
rnacentral:rRNA from 1 species